rnacentral:tRNA from 1 species
GGGGAUGUAGCUCAUAUGGUAGAGCGCUCGCUUUGCAUGCAAGAGGUAUGGUGAUAGAUACUUCGCAUCUCCA